rnacentral:lncRNA from 1 species
ACCGAAAAGAUAUGUUAUUACCAUUUAAGACCACCUUUUGGAGGUUUCUUAAGAACCUAGUAUCUUUAACUAUAAAAUAAUAUAUUAAAUUGUUUGUAUGUUUUAAAUGACAGAGAAAAAUUUGUGUUUGUUCGGAGAGAGAUGAUCGCAAAUGAAGAAAAAAGAAAAAGAAAAAUUGAAGACCAAUUAGACGUUGCCACGUCAACUAUUU